rnacentral:misc_RNA from 1 species
CGGAAGGAUCAUUACCACAUAUCAUCGGGGGAGAACUUCGGUUCUCCUGUCUGAACCCUUGUCUUUUGCGUACUAUUUGUUUCCUUGGUGGGCUUGCCUGCCGAUAGGACAACCAUUAAACCUUUUGUAAUUGCAAUCAGCGUCAGAAAAAACAUAAUAAUUACAACUUUCAACAACGGAUCUCUUGGUUCUGGCAUCGAUGAAGAACGCAGCGAAAUGCGAAAAGUAGUGUGAAUUGCAGAAUUCAGUGAAUCAUCGAAUCUUUGAACGCACAUUGCGCCCCUUGGUAUUCCAUGGGGCAUGCCUGUUCGAGCGUCAUUUGUACCUUCAAGCUCUGCUUGGUGUUGGGUGUUUGUCCCGCUUUUUUGCGUGGACUCGCCUCAAAGCAAUUGGCAGCCGGCGUACUAGCCUGGGAGCGCAGCACAUUUUGCGCAUCUCGACUUGAACGCUUGCAUCCAUCAAGUUACUUUUUAACUCUUGACCUCGGAUCAGGUAAGGAUACCCGCUGAACUUAA